AAAACAAACUAGAUAGUCUCCAUAAGAAAUUUCUUCUCACAGAACACCACAGUUUCCCAAGGGUUUUCCUGUACCAGAAGGGUCCCGUGUGAGCAUUCUGUUUUCUGCUAUGUCUAACUGAAGAAAAUCAACAUGCCGUGUACAUCCCAUGUAUUUUUUGAGUGAAAAUGAGAGAAGCACAGGUCUCUACACUCAGAGAGCACUUGCCACGACUCCCUCCCAGGGAGGUGCUGCUGAACUUCCACUGAAAAUGGCCGCACAGCUCAGCUCGUUAGAAGAAAAAGUGAGAAGUGGGAGUCACAUAAAUAAGCGAGAUUAGGGGAUGCAGAAACAUUUGUCCCGUGGCAUCCAAACAGAGAGUGGAGAAAAACUGAAUAAACAGAGGACCGCACAUCUAUCUUUAGAGGACCCCUAAGUGGUGGCCAUGUCACCUCAUGCCCAGUGACGCCCUGAAGGAGCUACUGACAUGUACAAAGCAGCUCUGGUUUAUAUGGCUUUUGUUCAGCCGACAGUGGGCCUAUGUUUUGAAAGAAGCUGUCCGCUCUUCUCCGUGAAAAGGAUCAUGGCAAGAGGUUUUCUUCUUUUUCUGAAUUUUAACUUGGACCCAUGGAAAGAAGAAGAAGAAGAAGAA